CUAAUAACCAAAAUUAGCGAGACUAAGCGUGAGCGCAAAAUUUGGCGUCUAAAAAGAAUGAAAAAAAUAUAUAUAAAUGGUGACUUAUUUAAAAACAUUGAUAUGUCACUCAAAAUCCCUAAGCCUAGACCUAACUUCAUCCCUCAAGAACUCGACUAAGUGGGAGACUACCUAGAGAAAUUGAAGUCUGGCCAGAGAGAAUCAACGGUGGUCCUCCGUAGAUCAAUAGUUAGUGUGUGGAUGUGAGAGAGCAAAAGAGAAUAUCCCAAAAUCUUUUGGUUGACGCAUAUAUUUAUAUAUGUUACCCCCUUUCUAAAUUUUGAAGAAAACUAAGAAAUGUGGCCUAUUAUUCUUGAUCUUUCUCGAUCUGAUUCUUGUUUUGGGUAUAGAGGAUAAAUUUUCUUUCUAGGUGAGCUAACUAGGGUUCAUUUUUUUGGGGUUCUCAAGAAAUGGGUUUGCUCACUGUCUGGAAUGUAAAUAGGGUUUCUUGAAACGAGUAUUUAUCUGUUUUCUGAAGCUAAAUUGAACAUAAAUUCUGGUUCAAGUUUGAAUUUGAUGAGAUGGGUUUGAAGAAGGGCUUUUUGCAGUGAAGGGUGACCCAGGAUAAGCAGAGCAUAUAUCAAAGGUGAGAGCUUUUUUAGUUUCUUUGUUUUUUGUUUUGUGAGAUCUGUGAAGUUGUGCAUCAUGAAUUUCCAAUUAUCCGCUGUAUAAUGCUAAGUUCUUUCUUUCUUUGUUCUUUUUACUACUUUAUAAGUUUUGGAGAAUUUGAUAUGGUCAACAACAUUUAAUUUUUUGUUAUCUUUUUAAAAAAAGCUUCUACGUUUUCCAUGAUUGGUCCAGCAGAAAAAUAAGUACUUUACCCAAUUAAUUCUUGAAAUCCUUGGAAAUUAUCCCAUGAUUUAAUAGAAUUCACAUAGUAGUAACAGUGGUUCCUCUAUAAAUGAUUCCAUGUGGUUUUAAUAUUAUGACCUUAAUCAAUAAGAUGGCUUUAGGGUAAGAACUUUAAUGUCUUGCUGGUAUUGAAUUGUACGAACUACCUUAUCUACAACCUAAAGUUGUUAAAGAGGAGACAAUUUCAUUUAUUUAUUUAGGUCUACAAUAGGUUGUGCACCGUUGUGAUGGAAAUCAAUUACUCGGGGAUGAUUUUAAGACUUCUUAUGCAAAUUGUUUAUUCCGGUUUAAACAUAGUUGAUCAAUUGGAUAAGACUUAUGCAAUACUGGUUGGGCUGCAUUUCAAACUAUUGUGAGCAAAGUAAGGCUUGUGAAGCAUGGCAGGCUUCGGAAUUAGGGAGGUUGUCGUGUAAAGUUUUCAACCAACAGUUUAUUUUAGUUCUUUGAGUUUUUGGGUUGUUCAUCUAGAAUCUUCAGUUUGCUCGCAGAUUUUUGUGAUCAUGUUAUAUGCACUUUCCUUCUUUUUUUUUUCUUUCUGGUUUUGGAGUUUAUUUUAUACUUAGUGACAAUAACUGGCCGGAAAAUAAUUCUGGUUGCCUUUGGUUUUUCCGACCGUUGAAUUUCCUCUGUUUCUCUACAUCAUGUGUUUUAUUACCUCUUGUUCUUUGCUAAUGUUUUGUAGUGUACUAUCUCAUACUUAUGCCUUUUUAUUUGAGUUGUAUUUCAAUUCAAAAGCAAAGGUGAUUCCAGGUAAAGGAACAUUGUUCAGCUUUAACAAAGGAAGAUUGUCGACUCCAAUCUGGUUCUUCUAUUGCUUAUGAUAAGUUAUUUGAUAGGUACCUCUAGAACUUCAACGAUACACGUAGCUAUGAGCUUACUUUGUGAUCAAACUGGAGAAGAAUGGAUUGUUCCUUCCUUUACUGUAUUUCAGGUUGAUAGUUUCUUGUGCACUUCCCCAUGUUGAUAACUUGGAGACAUGAAGACUGUUUGACUGUAAUUAGGUCAGGAUGGAGGCUUCAGUUUACAAGUGAAGAUGCAAUUCUGAAGAUUUAGAACAAGUUGACAAACUAGUUAUCCAUUAUAGUUUUGCUAAGACUGUUAGACAAAACAUUUAAUGUAUUUACUAGGAUUGUUAGCCUUUGUGGGCUAAUGAGUUGUGUAAAUAGUAUCGUGACAUUUAUAUUUUACAAACAAUGAUACUACAGAGAUGUUAAUUUGUAUUUUCAUUUAAUACUACUGACAACUUCUUUUAUAUA